CCGCUCCGAUCCGCCCCGAAUGCCCGAGUAUAAAUACCUCUUAUUACCUGUUAGGGUUAUAUUAAACACAUCCAGCCCCACGCCCCCAGCUCUACUACUGCUGUGUGCUGUAUGCCGACUUCCCAGUUCCCACGGUCCACCGUCCACCCCGACGAUCUCCCUCCCCAGUCGACGUCGAGUAUUUGUUAGGGGUUAUUUCUUAAUGGCGAUGCCCCCCCUUGCUCGAGAUCUCCGACUCCAACCGGACCAACCGUACGCUCGUCAAGUGUGCCUAUUUGGGAAAGUAACUCUACGUCAACUGAAAUUGAAUCGAAUGAGGCACAAUUACCAACACUUGAUAGUUCACAAGCAGAAAUUGAGUCAAAUCUCCCUGCAAAUGAACCAGAAGACCUUGGGUAUACUUCUGA